UGACAUCUAAGCAACUGAACUGGGAUUCAAAUUGAAGUAGAAGCUGCAGCUGCAGAGAUGUAUACUAUCAUGUCCAUCAAAGAUGCCAAGAUCUACGUUCUCUUACUGGUGUUCAUCAGCGUCUUUGUGGAGAAAGGGCAGUCAGACUUAUCAACAGAAAAUGUGAAAAAGAUUAUUGAAGACACAAUAUACAAAAGGUUCAAUCCUGAAGAGUUGAAAAGAAUGAUAGCAAAGAAAGCAGAAGGCACAAGAGGAAGACAGCCCAAGUAAGAUCAUUUUCAUUUGUUUCUACUUUUAGCAACCCUGAGCUUCUAUCUCAUAAUCUGACAAUGUUUUUUACAAUUACUUUUCUUGUGGCUGAGCAAUCUGUAUCCUCAUAUUGUGCAAUCCCCUCCAACCCCUCUUUUACGCUACUGCUACUCUCUGUUCAUCAUAUAUGCAUAGUCACUUUAACAAUAUCUACAUGUACAUACUACCUCAAUCAGCCUGACUAACCGGUGCCUGUAUAUAGCCUCGCUACUAUUAUAGCCUCGCUACUGUUAUUUUUCACUGUCUUUUUACUGUUGUUUUUAUUUAUUAACUUACCUAUUGUUCACAUAAUACAUUUUAUGCACUGUUGGUUAGAGCCUGUAAGUAAGCAUUUCACUAUAAGGUCUACACCUGUUGUAUUCGGCGCACGUGACAAAUAAAUGUUGAUUUGAUUUGAUUUGACUCCAUGGUUUAACCAACCCAGUAUUUGGAAUACGACAACCCUAUCCAGUAUUAGGAAUACGACAACCCUAUCCAGUAUUUGGAAUACGACAACCCUAUCCAGUAUUAGGAAUACGGCAACCCUAUCCAGUAUUAGGAAUACGACAACCCUAUCCAGUAUUAGGAAUACGACAAUUCUGCAUGGAUCUACAUUUAUCACUGUUCUAUCUUUGAGUCUUCUUAUAAACAAUGUACAGUGUAGCUUCAAAAUAUAUUUUAAACGAUCUUGGCUGCUCUCAUGGACUGUAUUAUGUCUUAAAGGCUCAUUUCAAAUGUUUUACUCUAUGUUUGGGUUUCUAAUACAGGGGCGAGCAGUUCACAAUGGCACUCAGGCUUACAACAAAGGAAUGUGACAGUGGGGAGCUAGAGAAAAGAGACAAUCUCGAACAGGUUAUGGGCGACAUGGUAAAUGGUGCUGUGGGCAACAAUGAUUGGGUCACUGCAGCUAUUCCUAAGUUCAACCCCGGUUAUGACAGCCAUUCAGAAUAUCGCGUACUGGAGAAACUGCAAUCCAAUUUAAAAAAAGAUUCUAAUAUAGAGUGUUUGAUACUCUACACACACAACAGUCCUUGUACUGAUAAAUGCCUGAAAGACAACCAUUUGUUCAACAUUAUCAACCAACUGAACGAUGUUUUCUUAAAAGUAGAAUCAACAUAUAGUGCAUUAGUAUUCGACCAUAUUUUUUAUAAAGACACUGACAAAAGUAGAGAGGACGUUUUUAGUUCCCUGAAAAAAAUUCCUAUACCAAUUUAUUGCUGCUCCAAAGCUCAUAGUGGAUAUCACUGUGCAUUGCUUGACACUAGCAAAGAUGACACAUUUCAAAUAUGUUUAACUGAGAUAAAGCAAUGAGAUAUCAAAGUAAUGACACCAAUGAUAAACCCCUGAGAAAAUGAAUAAAGAGCACAAUAUAUUUUUUUCUGUUGUUACAUAAACCACAACAUUUAUACAAAUGUUUGGCUGUCAUCACUCAUCACUGAAUUGGGAUGCUAAUGUUAGCAGUACAUGAAUGUUGGUUGUAAUUAUUUAGUCUGUUCUGUAUCCCCCCAUUCUGUCGUUUCAAUGUGCUUUCUGUCUUCUGAAUAUUGAUAAACAUUCUGAAACUGUAUAAUGUAGUGUUUCAUUUCAAACUAUUUCUGCCUGAUGCCAGCAGAAAGUUGUUAGUCUGUUGUUUAUUAUACUGUAUAAAUCUGUUUCCACUCGCUUAUGAUAUCAUUACUGUGAUCUACAACUUUAUGACGUAUGAGUUAUUUGCUGUUAUUAAACCAUUCUCUCUUGGAUGUAAUGAAGGAUGUUGUUUGUGAUAAGUGCUUUCCCUUCGUU